rnacentral:rRNA from 1 species
GCCCAGACUCCUACGGGAGGCAGCAGUGAGGAAUAUUGGUCAAUGGCCGGAAGGCUGAACCAGCCAAGCCGCGUGAAGGACGAAGGUGCCAAGCAUUGUAAACCUCUUUUGUCGGGGAGCAAAAGACGCCACGCGUGGCGUUCCGAGAGUACCCGAAGAAAAAGCAUCGGCUAACUCCGUGCCAGCAGCCGCGGUAAUACGGAGGAUGCGAGCGUUAUCCGGAUUUAUUGGGUUUAAAGGGUGCGUAGGCGGGAUGCCAAGUCAGCGGUAAAAAUGCGGUGCUCAACGCCGUCGAGCCGUUGAAACUGGCGUUCUUGAGUGGGCGAGAAGUAUGCGGAAUGCGUGGUGUAGCGGUGAAAUGCAUAGAUAUCACGCAGAACUCCGAUUGCGAAGGCAGCAUACCGGCGCCCUACUGACGCUGAGGCACGAAAGCGUGGGUAUCGAACAGGAUUAGAUACCCCUGUA